UGGCGGCGUGCCUAAUACAUGCAAGUCGAGCGAACGGACGAGAAGCUUGCUUCUCUGAUGUUAGCGGCGGACGGGUGAGUAACACGUGGAUAACCUACCUAUAAGACUGGGAUAACUUCGGGAAACCGGAGCUAAUACCGGAUAAUAUUUUGAACCGCAUGGUUCAAAAGUGAAAGACGGUCUUGCUGUCACUUAUAGAUGGAUCCGCGCUGCAUUAGCUAGUUGGUAAGGUAACGGCUUACCAAGGCAACGAUGCAUAGCCGACCUGAGAGGGUGAUCGGCCACACUGGAACUGAGACACGGUCCAGACUCCUACGGGAGGCAGCAGUAGGGAAUCUUCCGCAAUGGGCGAAAGCCUGACGGAGCAACGCCGCGUGAGUGAUGAAGGUCUUCGGAUCGUAAAACUCUGUUAUUAGGGAAGAACAUAUGUGUAAGUAACUGUGCACAUCUUGACGGUACCUAAUCAGAAAGCCACGGCUAACUACGUGCCAGCAGCCGCGGUAAUACGUAGGUGGCAAGCGUUAUCCGGAAUUAUUGGGCGUAAAGCGCGCGUAGGCGGUUUUUUAAGUCUGAUGUGAAAGCCCACGGCUCAACCGUGGAGGGUCAUUGGAAACUGGAAAACUUGAGUGCAGAAGAGGAAAGUGGAAUUCCAUGUGUAGCGGUGAAAUGCGCAGAGAUAUGGAGGAACACCAGUGGCGAAGGCGACUUUCUGGUCUGUAACUGACGCUGAUGUGCGAAAGCGUGGGGAUCAAACAGGAUUAGAUACCCUGGUAGUCCACGCCGUAAACGAUGAGUGCUAAGUGUUAGGGGGUUUCCGCCCCUUAGUGCUGCAGCUAACGCAUUAAGCACUCCGCCUGGGGAGUACGACCGCAAGGUUGAAACUCAAAGGAAUUGACGGGGACCCGCACAAGCGGUGGAGCAUGUGGUUUAAUUCGAAGCAACGCGAAGAACCUUACCAAAUCUUGACAUCCUUUGACAACUCUAGAGAUAGAGCCUUCCCCUUCGGGGGACAAAGUGACAGGUGGUGCAUGGUUGUCGUCAGCUCGUGUCGUGAGAUGUUGGGUUAAGUCCCGCAACGAGCGCAACCCUUAAGCUUAGUUGCCAUCAUUAAGUUGGGCACUCUAAGUUGACUGCCGGUGACAAACCGGAGGAAGGUGGGGAUGACGUCAAAUCAUCAUGCCCCUUAUGAUUUGGGCUACACACGUGCUACAAUGGACAAUACAAAGGGCAGCGAAACCGCGAGGUCAAGCAAAUCCCAUAAAGUUGUUCUCAGUUCGGAUUGUAGUCUGCAACUCGACUACAUGAAGCUGGAAUCGCUAGUAAUCGUAGAUCAGCAUGCUACGGUGAAUACGUUCCCGGGUCUUGUACACACCGCCCGUCACACCACGAGAGUUUGUAACACCCGAAGCCGGUGGAGUAACCUUUUAGGAGCUAGCCGUCGAAGGUGGGACAAAUGAUUGGGGUGAAGUCGUAACAAGGUAGCCGUAUCGGAAGGUGCGGCUGGAUCACCUCCUUUCUAA
rnacentral:rRNA from 1 species